rnacentral:rRNA from 1 species
GUCCACACUGUAAACGAUGAUAACUAGGUGUCGGCCGAAUCUGGUCGGUGCCACAGCGAAAGCGUUAAGUUAUCCACCUGGGGAGUACGCCGGCAACGGUGAAACUCAAAGGAAUUGACGGGGUCCGCACAAGCAGUGGAGCAUGUGGUUUAAUUCGAUGCAACGCGAAGAACCUUACCCAGGUUUGACAUGCACUAGACGUACCUAGAAAUAGGUAUUCCCUUCGGGGCUGGUGCACAGGUGCUGCAUGGCUGUCGU